AACCUGCCCUUGACUCUGGGAUAAGCACUGGAAACGGUGUCUAAUACCGGAUACGAGCUUCAGCCGCAUGGCUAGGAGUUGGAAAGAAUUUCGGUCAAGGAUGGACUCGCGGCCUAUCAGCUAGUUGGUGAGGUAAUGGCCCACCAAGGCGACGACGGGUAGCCGGCCUGAGAGGGUGACCGGCCACACUGGGACUGAGACGCGGCCCAGACUCCUACGGGAGGCAGCAGUGGGGAAUAUUGCACAAUGGGCGCAAGCCUGAUGCAGCAACGCCGCGUGAGG
rnacentral:rRNA from 1 species